rnacentral:pre_miRNA from 1 species
AAAGUACUCCCUCCAUCCCAAAAUUCUUGUCUUAGAUUUGUCUAGAUACAGAUGUAUCAAGUCACAUUUUAGUAUUAGAUACAUCCGUAUCUAGACAAAUCUAAGACAAGAAAUUUGGGACAGAGGGAGUAUUUG